GGAGGAACAUGUGGUUUAAUUCGAUGAUACGCGAGGAACCUUACCCGGGCUUGAACUGCAGCAGAACGAUUGAGAGAUCAUGAGGUCCUUCGGGACUGCUGUGGAGGUGCUGCAUGGUUGUCGUCAGCUCGUGCCGUGAGGUGUCGGCUUAAGUGCCAUAACGAGCGCAACCCCUCUCUUCAGUUGCCAUCAGGUAGAGCUGGGCACUCUGGAGACACUGCCACCGUAAGGUGUGAGGAAGGUGGGGAUGACGUCAAAUCAGCACGGCCCUUACGUCCGGGGCUACACACGUGUUACAAUGGGUGGUACAGAGCGUCGGCGGCCUGCAAAGUCCGUCCAAUCGCAAAAUCCAUCCUCAGUUCGGACUGGGGUCUGCAACCCGACCCCACGAAGCUGGAUUCGCUAGUAAUCGCGCAUCAGCCAUGGCGCGGUGAAUACGUUCCCGGGCCUUGUACACACCGCCCGUCAAUUCAUUUAAG
rnacentral:rRNA from 1 species